AGCAGCCGCGGUAAUUCCAGCUCCAAUAGCGUAUAUUAAAGUUGUUGCAGUUAAAAAGCUCGUAGUUGAAUUUCGGGAUCAAUAUUUCGGUCAUGCCGUUGGUAUGCACUGUUAUCAUUGAUUUCUCACCUUCUAAAGAACCGUAAUGCCAUUAAUUUGGUGUUACGGGGAAUUAGGACUGUUACCUUGAAAAAUUAGAGUGUUUAAAGCAGGCUCACGCUUGAAUACAUUAGCAUGGAAUAAUGAAAUAGGACAUCCGAUUCUAUUUUGUUGGUUUCUAGGAUCGAUGUAAUGAUUAAUAGGGAUAGUUGGGGGCAUUAGUAUUCAAUUGUCAGAGGUGAAAUUCUUGGAUUUAUUGAAGACUAACUACUGCGAAAGCAUUUGCCAAGGAUGUUUUCAUUAAUCAAGAACGAAAGUUAGGGGAUCGAAGACGAUCAGAUACCGUCGUAGUCUUAACCAUAAACUAUGCCGACUAGGGAUCGGAUGAUGUUAAUUUUUAAUGACUCA
rnacentral:rRNA from 1 species